CCAGGGUCUAGGAGAGCCUGGGCUGUUCCUGGGGUGUUCGGUGUUUUUUGCCAUCCAUGACGCGGUGAACGCAGCGCGACAGGAGAGAGGCCUGUGCGGACCCUUGAAGCUCAGUAGUCCACUGACCCCGGAGAAGAUUAGAAUGGCCUGUGAAGAUAAGUUCACAGAAAUGAUUCCAAGAGAUAAACCUGGAUCCUAUGUUCCUUGGAAUAUACUCAUAUGAGUCAAAUACAAAUUUCUGAGAAAAAAGGGGUGACUUUUGCAACACAACAAUCUGUCCGGUCUCUGCACUAUGAGAUGCUAGAUCUGAAGGACAAAUUUCACAGUUAAAAAUCAUUUCACAGAAUAUUCAUUUUAUAUGAUGCUGAUUUUAAAUGUUCCACUUAAAUUUUGAUAGAUAUGCUUAAGCAAUUUAGAAAUCAUAUUUUAAAUGGCGUAAAUACUAACUGGUUUCCUCUGGAAUGAUAUUCUCCAUUACUCUGUGCCUUAAAUCCAUCCAGCUGAAUGGAAUAGAAGAGGAUGGCUUGUGCGUGAUGUAUACUUGGCUUGUAUCCACCAACAGAAAUUAUAGUGUCUGCUGAAAGGCAAUUUUCUCAAUACUUGUAUUAGUGGUGUGAAAUGUAAACUUGUCAUUUUCUCAUUUGUCCCCAUCUGCUAUCACCCUCCUUUUCUUGUCAGAAUGGAUCCAGGCACUGGAUCUAAAGAGUCUGUGAGAACAAA